rnacentral:lncRNA from 1 species
GGCCGGCUCCAUGGCUCUUCUAGAAUUAUUGUUUGUUUAUCUUGCCAUAUGCUUGCACAACCUCGCAAAAACAGUUUCUUUCUUUCUUUCUUUUUAAGUCAAGAAGAACAAGCAGACUCAAGCCCCAAAUCCCCACUGGUCCACGGUUGCCAUCCUUGGGACCCAUCUCUGGGCUCCCUGCUCCCGUUCUCUGUUCUGGCUCUUUAAGAGACAUCCUUUUGGGGAGCCCCCGGCCUGACUGGAAGGCUGACUUCCCCAGGGAGUCUCCUGGCCAAGUGGCUGUUCCCACCAACGUGGGCACCCGGCAGCUCAGGGAGCCAAACUGCGAAGAUGCCCCUCUGUGCACCUUUGCACUCCAUCCCCGCAAAGCAUUCACAUUAGUGAGGUUUCUUCCCACUCAACCUGGAGGACCCAGGCCGGAGGUGGGCAGCUGCUCCUCACCGGCGCCUCACUGUGCCUCCGGGCCCCAGAGAAAGGCCACGUCUCUCAGGCGGCACAAAGCCCUCCCUGCUGGCCCGGCCCUGCAGUCCAGCUGCCUCCUCAUCACUCUCCAAUCUCGGAAUAAUGGCUGGGCACCAAAAAGGCCUGCUUUCUCUCACUUCAGGCCCAUGCACAAGCUAUUGCCUCUGCCUGAACAGUCCUUCUCCCGCCUCUGCCCAGCUAAUAUCUACUUAUCACCCAAACCUCAUCUUAGAUGGGCCCUCCUCCAGGAAGCCCUCCUUGACCAGUCCUGGCAGGAGCCCUCCUCUAGGCUCCCAUAACACACUAGGAUUCCCUAGUGCAGAAUUCUAGCCGUGUCACUUUUACACCGACUGUGUAACUCUGGGCUAAUUACCUAAUCUCUCUGUACCUCAGUUUCCUCAUUUGUAAAACAGUGCUUAGCUCAGAGUUGUUGUAAAGGUUACAUGACUUAAUUCAGAUAAAAUGCUCAAGACAGUGCCUGGUACCUAGUAAACGUUUGAUAACUCUUGGUUCUUAUCACACAUUUGGAAUUGCCUGUAUAUCUGUCUCCCCACCAGACUGCUAUGAGCUUCUUAAAUACCGCGGCUGGGUCGUGUCAUCCUGAUGUUCACCCAGGGCCUGGUACGUAUUUAAAACUUCUCA